AGAGUUUGAUCAUGGCUCAGAUUGAACGCUGGCGGCAUGCUUUACACAUGCAAGUCGAACGGGGUGAGGAGCUUGCUCCUCAUCUAGUGGCGAACGGGUGGGUAAUACAUCGGAACGUACCGUGUAGUGGGGGAUAACGUAGCGAACGUUACGCUAAUACCGCAUACGAUCCACGGAUGAAAGCAGGGGACCUUCGGGCCUUGUGCUAUACGAGCGGCCGAUGUCUGAUUAGCUAGUUGGUGGGGUAAAGGCCCACCAAGGCAACGAUCAGUAGCGGGUCUGAGAGGAUGAUCCGCCACACUGGGACUGAGACACGGCCCAGACUCCUACGGGAGGCAGCAGUGGGGAAUUUUGGACAAUGGGCGCAAGCCUGAUCCAGCCAUGCCGCGUGUCUGAAGAAGGCCUUCGGGUUGUAAAGGACUUUUGUCAGGGAGCAAAACCCAGCAGCUAAUAUCUGUUGGGGAUGAGAGUACCUGAAGAAUAAGCACCGGCUAACUACGUG
rnacentral:rRNA from 1 species